rnacentral:rRNA from 1 species
CAGGACGAACGCUGGCGGCGUGCUUAACACAUGCAAGUCGAACGGAACUCUUUGGAUCGAGACUUCGGUCAAGUGAAUCUGAGUUUAGUGGCGGACGGGUGAGUAACGCGUGAGGAACCUGCCUUUCAGAGGGGGACAACAGUUGGAAACGACUGCUAAUACCGCAUAACGCAUAUUGAUCGCAUGGUCUAUAUGCCAAAGAUUUAUGUGCUGGAAGAUGGUCUCGCGUCUGAUUAGCUAGAUGGCGGGGUAACGGCCCACCAUGGCGACGAUCAGUAGCCGGUCUGAGAGGAUGAACGGCCACAUUGGGACUGAGAUACGGCCCAGACUCCUACGGGAGGCAGCAGUGGGGAAUAUUGGGCAAUGGGGGAAACCCUGACCCAGCAACGCCGCGUGAAGGAAGAAGGCCUUCGGGUUGUAAACUUCUUUUAGCAGGGACGAAGAACGUGACGGUACCUGCAGAAAAAGCAACGGCUAACUACGUG